rnacentral:rRNA from 1 species
GAUGAACGCUGGCGGCGUGCCUAAUACAUGCAAGUCGAGCGCACAGACGAGGAGCUUGCUCCUCUGACGUUAGCGGCGGGCGGGUGAGUCACAUGUGGAUAACCUACCUAUAAGACUGGGAUAACUUCGGGAAACCGGCUCUAAUACCAGAUAAUAUAUUGUACCGCAUGGUUCACUAGUGAAAUGCGAUUUUGUUGUUACUUGUAGAUGGAUCCGCGCCGAAUUAGCUAGUUGGUAAGGUAACGGCUUACCAAGGCAACGAUGCGCAGCCGACCUGAGAGGGUGAUCGGCCACACGGGAACUGAGACACGGUCCAGACUCCUACGGGGGGAAGCAGUAGGGAAUCUUACGCAAUGGGCGAAAGCCGAACGGAGCAACGCCGCGUGAGUGAUGAAGGUCUUAGGAUCGUAAAACUCUGUUAGUAGGGAAGAACAAAUGUGUAAGUAACUAUGCACGUCUUGACGGUACCUAAUCAGAAAGCCACGGCUAACUACGUG